rnacentral:lncRNA from 1 species
UAAUUGUGGUUAUUUGUGGGUGGGUCGAUACGGACAGUAUUUUCACUACUUGCUCUCAUCAGGCUAGAAAAUAAAACAAAGCAGCUAACUGACCUCUUUACACUGGUUCAGAGUCACCAAGAGCGGUUUAGGAAUACUGGCAUUUUAACAGCCUACGAGAGACAGCUUUUUAAUGGAAGGAGUCAAGCCGUUCACUGAAGAGUUUAGAUCCAGCCACCCGACUUAACUCAAGAGGACUGCCUGAGAUGCCAGAUGCCAGGUGGGAAUAUGAUGUUCACGUAAGCUGAGGUCAGCUGCAGGCCACAGUUCAGACGUUGUUGUUGUUGCUUACCAACCAGGUGACGAGUUUAGAUUGUGGCAGUGAACACACGGGGCUUCCCAGGUGGCUGUGGGCAGCAACCCGCCUGCCAGUGCGGAAGACGUGGCUUCUGUCCCUGGGUCGGGAAGAGCUCCUGGACAAGGCAAUGGCACCCCGCUCCGGU